rnacentral:rRNA from 1 species
CACGUAGGAUCCAAGCGUUAUCCGGAUUUACUGGGCGUAAAGCGCGUGCAGGUGGCUUGUUAAGUUGGGUGUUAAAUCUCUCGGCUCAACUGAGAGGUGUCGCUCAAAACUAGCAGGCUGGAGGACGGUAGAGGAAGGCAGAAUUCCGGGUGUAGUGGUGAAAUGCGUAGAUAUCCGGAGGAAUACCAGUGGCGAAGGCGGCCUUCUGGACCGUUCCUGACACUCAGACGCGAAAGCUAGGGGAGCAAACGGG